rnacentral:rRNA from 1 species
GAUGAACGCUAGCGGGAGGCCUAACACAUGCAAGCCGAGCGGUAGAGUUCCUUCGGGAACUUGAGAGCGGCGUACGGGUGCGUAACACGUGUGCAACCUACCUUUAUCUGGGGGAUAGCCUUUCGAAAGGAAGAUUAAUACCCCAUAAUAUAAUGAUUGGCAUCAAUUAUUAUUGAAAACUCCGGUGGAUAGAGAUGGGCACGCGCAAGAUUAGAUAGUUGGUGAGGUAACGGCUCACCAAGUCAAUGAUCUUUAGGGGUCCUGAGAGGGAGAUCCCCCACACUGGUACUGAGACACGGACCAGACUCCUACGGGAGGCAGCAGUGAGGAAUAUUGGACAAUGGGUGAAAGCCUGAUCCAGCCAUCCCGCGUGAAGGAUGACGGUCCUAUGGAUUGUAAACUUCUUUUGGACAGGGAUAAACCUACUCUCGUGAGGGUAGCUGAAGGUACUGUACGAAUAAGCACCGGCUAACUCCGUG